CCUUCGGCAAACCUGACCAUGACUCCAUUUUGCUCUUACCGUCCUUUCGGCAGAAACUCAAACAGGAUGUACCCGUGACUAGAACUAUUCAACGCUGAUCUGUCCAAUCAUUUUAAGAUUGUUUUGAUCACCUGGACUGGGAAAUAUUCCAGGCAGCCUCAGAGAAUAACAUCGAUUUAUAUGCUGAUUUGCAGAUCAGGCUUCCCAUCCUCCAUGUCUACUGACUGUAAGAGAUACAGAGUGAGAGGAUGUUGGUUCAAGAAAUCUGAUAUGAGCACCCUGCUAUGGAUCAUCUUCUGAUUGGACAAUGAGGGACUGCUAUGAGUACUAUGCAAACAUAAGGUGGUGUUGUCUGGUUGUCCUCUAUGACCAUGGUCCCUUCUGGGUUCCACAGACUCUCCUCACAGCCCUCCUCCUUCACCAGCAGCACCUCUGGACCCUCCUCCUCCUGGAAGAGACAGGUGAUACAGAUUACACAGACAUACACUUCCUCAGAUAAUCUCAGCUUGGAUGUCAGCCCACCACCUCAAGCUCAAUCUCGACAAGACAGAGCUGCCCAUCUUCUGGGGGAAGGCCUGCCUGCUCCAAGACCUCUCCAUCAUGGUUGACAAUUCCAUGGUGUCCCUCUCCCAGAGUGCAAAGAACCUUCAUGUGACCCUUGACAACACCCUGUCAUUCUCUGCUAAAAUCAAAGCAGUGACUCGCUCCUGCAGGUUCAUGCUCCACAACAUCCAUAGAGUACGACCCUUCCUCACACAGGACGCGGCACAUGUCCUAAUCCAGGCUCUUGUCAUCUCCCAUCUAGACUACUGCAACUCUGUUGGCUUGGCUCCCUGCUUGUGCCAUCAAACCCCUGCAACUUAUCCAUAACGCUGCAGCCCGUCCGGUAUUUAACCUUCCCAAGUUCUUCCAUGUCACCCUGCUCCUUGACACACUCCACUGACUUCCAGUUGUGGCUCGCAUCCACGGAGCAGCAAGGGGAACUGCCCCUCCAUACCUUCAGGCUAUGCUCAAACCCUACACCCCAACCCGAGCACUCCAUUCUGUCACCUCUGGUCUCUUGGCCGCAUCUGUUCAACCUAGUCUAAGCUCUUCUCUGUCAAGGCACCCCAAUGGUGGAACAAGCUUAACGCUGAAGCUAGGACAGCAAAUUCUCUGCCCAUUUUCCAAAGAUGUCUGAAACCCUAUCUCUUCAAAGAGUAUCUUAAAUUAAUCCACCCCCCCAAAUUUGCAAAGACUAUGUUGUGUGGCUGUCUCACCCAGCUUUUUUAAGACUAAUUGUAAGUCGCUCUGGAUGAAACCGAAUGCAAAAUGAAUAAAAUGUAAAUAUAAAAUGUAAUGUCUCUACUAAAAAUCAGCAUUAACUUGAUAAACAGCAUAAAUUGUCAUUAAAAUUAAAUUGUUGAAUGGAAGUAAUGAAAUAGGCAUUUGUGAACACCACAGCCUACAAUUUCUGGAUGCAACAUUCUACCGAGGAAUAUUCAACACUGAAAUCUGUUACUCCCGUUAUUACAAAUGCAUCUGUGGAUCUUUUAUGCUGACAACAAUGAAAAUAAAUAUUUGUCUUUAAUGCAGGGUUUGAUUUAACGUCAG
rnacentral:lncRNA from 1 species